rnacentral:rRNA from 1 species
GGGUAAUCUGCCCCUNGGAUUUGGGAUAACUUCGCGAAAGUGGAGCUAAUACCGGAUAGUCUGGCUUUGUAAAAGGAGUCGGUAAAGGAUGCCUCUGCAUAUGCAUUCGUCCGAGGAUGAGCCCGCGUCUCAUUAGCUAGUUGGUAGGGUAACGGCCUACCAAGGCGACGAUGAGUAGCUGGUCUGAGAGGAUGAUCAGCCACACUGGGACUGAAACACGGCCCAGACUCCUGCGGGAGGCAGCAGUGGGGAAUAUUGCGCAAUGGGCGAAAGCCUGACGCAGCAACGCCGUGUGAGGGAUGAAGGUUUUCGGAUCGUAAACCUCUGUCAGAAGGGAAGAAGUGAUGCGGGUCCAAUAGGCCCGCAUUGGGACG